rnacentral:lncRNA from 1 species
GAGGCGCAUGUGAAAUUCGUCUCUGGUUAAAGCUUCAUCAGUGUUUCGAAUGUGCAUUGAGCCUGUGGUGAUGACCUGAUAGUGAUUCUUGGUCUCUUACGUGAGCGGAAGUUCAUUACUCGAAGUGCAUGCCACUUAUUCGAUGAAAUGUCUGAGUGAAAGCAUAAUGCAUGUCCUCUGAAGGCAUGUGUUAAUGUGAUUUGGUGGAAAUUGAUGUGAAAUUCGUCUCCUUUAAAAGCUUUAUCAAUGUCUCGAAUGUGCAUUGAAGCUGUAGUCAUGACCUGAUAGUGAUUCUUGGCCUUAUUAUAUGUGAGCGGAAGUUCAUUACUCAAAGUGCAUGCCACUUAUUCGAUGAAAUGUCUGAGUUAAGUCAGAAUGCAUCUUCUCUGAAAGAAACAAGUUCAAGAAGGCAUGUGUUGAUGGGAUUUGUGUGAGAUAAGCGGAUUCUUUAAAUAUUAAACCUGAUUUGGAUGUGCAAUGAGGUACCUGAUAGUCUUCCUGAUCUUUCUCCAUCCUGAUUUUCUAUCUCCCUUGUCGGAUCCUGCUUUGAAUUUAGUAUGGCGAGAAACUGGGCAGAGCUCCCACCAGAGUUGUUACAACUAUGCUCCCAGCGCCUUUGUCCAAAGAAUUUAUCGGCGUUCCGAGCAGUGUGCCGUUCGUGGCAAUCUGCUGCCCUCAAAGAGAGGAGCGAUGUCCCAUGGUUGAUGCUCACAGACAAAAAGGGGAUGCUGUGGCGUGAGUUUUUCUGCCUCUCAUGUCAGCAGGUUCACAAAAAGUUCUUGCCGGAAAUGAUGGCGAAUGGAUAUUUCUCUUCGCGAGGUUGGGUGUUGAUGACCAGCAGAGACUGGGAAUUCCGCAUGCUAAAGACUCCCAUGUCGCGUUACAGUCAUAUUAUUAAGCUUCCCAAUUGGAAUAAGUUCCCCAACAUCGAAGAUUUGCCUUUCUUUGAUGUUGAAUUCGUCCGUAAGUUCGUCCUAUCUGAUAGCCCUACUACAUCUCCAGAUUACAAGGUCAUGGUCAUUUAUGACAAUGGACAGUUAGGGCUUUGGAAACCUGGCGAAGAGGAGUGGACGGCAGUGGACUCCCCCACAGAUGAAAAAAAUUACGAUGUCAUAUAUUAUAAGGGGUCCUUUGUUGCUGUCGAUUUUGAAAAUAGGAUAUUGAGGUGCGAUGUUGAUGGACCAACUCCAUUUGAGGCUCGAGUAGUUUUCCAGAUGCCGCAAAGACUCCCAGAAUUCAAGCAUGAGUAUCCCCCAGGAUCCCUUUGGUACGUGAAUCAAGUGUAUCUAGUGCAAUCAACAACGGGAUCUCUGUUGUUUGUGUCACUACAGGAACAAGUAGCAUCUACCAUAACCUUUCGAUUCCGUGUUCUCGAGAUUGACCUGGAUACUCAAAUGUGCACAGAAGUUGAGAACUUGGAGAACACGUCCCUCUUCUUGGGCCACAAUUCUUCCUUCUCUUUGGAAGUCGAUGAAGAUCAUCUCAUCAAGCCGAAUUGUAUUUACUUUACUUACGUUCGUCUCUCAUCGUCCCAGUUUUUUGAAGAUGGAGGAGACACAGGCAUGGGAAUAUACCACCUCAAAGAUGGUAUGGUCGAGCUGCAUGUCGAGGGGAAAUCUUCUCCUUUGCUUUGGAUCGAACCAUGCUUUUAAGCCAUAGCUAAAAAGUUUGGCUUGUUAACACUGAUGAAGUAAGCAGAUUAGUGAAAUGACAGGAUAGAUACACGGUUGGUACAGAAAGUUAGCAAUUCCUUUUAUGAACACGAAAUUGUUAGGUCAUUGGAAGUGAAAUUGUACUGAAAUUUGAAUUUGUGCUUUUGAUACUUCGAAUUUUACAUCUAGUGAUGACAUCUGGGUGUUUUCUUUCUAUUGUUUUAUCUCUUCUGCUGCCUUGCAUGAUAUAUCGUGUUGGUUCUACACAAAAAACAAAAUCGAGUGAAGGCAAAACAUAGGGUUUGAACUUUGAACAGGGAAAAACAAUGGAGGGUCGAAAAUAUAUUGACUCAUUAAGUGUGGUUAACUAUUUUUCUUCUCUUUUAUACAUUAGGGCCUUAUAUUUUCGAGUGAACAAUAAAAAGAAUUCUACAAGAACCUUGGUCGCAUUAAAGAGGGGAAUGAUUUAACUGUAUUUUCUGAAUUUCUACACUGCACAUUUCAAGUGACAUACAUUUUCGAGUAAACAAUGAAAAGCAAAUCAUUAUGGACAGUGAAAUUAGUAAAUAUCGAUGUUGUCAAUAAGCAUCUCUCCAAUCUCAAAUGAUUGAUUGCAAUAUUUAUAUAUUUGAUUCGAUGAGGAUUUUGUGUUUCGCUUCUUUUCGUAUAAGCUAAGUUCUAGCUGUUAAGUGUAAAUAUCCAAGGAUCUGUUAAGGCUUCCUCCACCAAUUGGAGCUGCAAACAUGAACGCAGGUUAGGGCAUCCGAGGUGAUUGCCUGAAUUGGCCCUCGGAUGCCUAAGUCGUAGUUUGGAGUAUGGCGGAAACUUAUGAAGCUAUAGGGGUAAAGAGUUCUUGUCCGUUGGGUGAGGAUCGAUAGAUGAUGACCAAACUGUAAGCAUCAAUUGGUUAUAACUAAUGGCAAUAUAUCAUGACAACUAUAAUAGAUCAUGACAUGUGAUGGUCUAACCGUCCACAGAGAUAAUAGAUGCUCAGUCUUUUAAUAAUUCCUCCAAAAGAAUAGCUUAAGUGGAGGUCUUAUUGCCAAGUUGACCGGUCUUGACUCGGUCUUGACUCAAAACCCAAGUUGCAUCCUUUCUUAAUCAUUCCCAUUGAGUAGGAUUACUGUUAGCAGGCGGGGUCACCAUGGACACUUGACGGUCUAGUGGCUUGCCAAAUCCAUCAUUAUUAGAAACAAUAAAAAAUCAUUCAUUGAUGACAUUAGAGUGAAGUACUAGAGAGAGAAAGAGAGUUAAAACAUAGAUUAUGGAUUGUCAACAGCAAAUCUUGUUGAUUAAUAUUUGUUUUAGUCAGAAUAGUCAAAUAGUAUUUUAUAUAACUAAUAACAGCAUGACCCACGAACUGCUCUCUACCUUAUAUGAGCAUCAGCAACAGGAGAUGAAACUCGCUCUCUCCACCAGCUAAACUUAUGCAGUCACAAUAGAAACUCUAAAACCCAAAAGCUUCUCCUCUUCAUUGUCCUCACUUUCAAGAAACACGAACUACGCUUAUGGAAAUCGCAAUGCACAGAUGCUCUCACAAAUUAUGUCCUAAAAUUGAGGAAUAGCAGGUUAACGUUGGAUGCCUAUUUGGUAGACCUAGAAUUUUCUCAAAAAGAAAAGGAGUGCAAAACAUAUGAGCAUGAGUGUGCUCUCCACUUAUUAUGAUACUAAUUAUGCGGAAAUAGCUACUCAUGCACGAGAGUCUUACAUUUGAUGGAAAGCCUUUGAUCAUUUUGUUGUUGCACCACAAACAUGAGAAUAGGGGUGUGUGUGCAACCGGACCAGGUAUACCAAGGAACCGAACUGGUCCACGCAGAAAAUAGGGUUGGGAAUCGGUUCCCAAAAUUUAGAAUUGGUUUGAAGCGGUCUGAGAACCGGUUCUCGGACUGGUUUUGGAAUCAGUUUUGUAAACAGAGGUCCAAAAUCCUUUUUUUUUUUCCCCUGAUUUUUAUUCUCACUCCCACAGUCGAAAUGCGUUUUUCUUCUUGGCUCUCUCAGACAUGCACGGCGCUCCUCCUUUGUCGUUCCUCUUCCUCCCUCGCUUCCCUCCCUCAUCAGCUCCCUCUCGCAACAUCUGAUGGAUGGAUAGCAUCCGUCACCGCCAAAUUCAUGUGUAUCACGUGGAUUGGCUCGCCUAAUUUUUCUUUUGGUGGAAGAGUUAUGCUUGCAGUAGAGAUUUGUUAACCGUUUUAGAUAAAUAAAGAGCUUCAUAUAGUAGUUGUGGGAAUGAGACUAAUAUUAGACCUAUAUUUGUUGCUAAUGUUUAUGUAAUGUUAUGAUUUUUGCUUUGCCUUAUGAUUUUAUUUAUGAUAACUAGUCUUGUGGAUUCUUAAUUUUUCAUUUAGUCAAAAAAUUUAUUUACUUAUUGAUUACAAGUACUUAAUGUUUCAAUAUAAAUUAGGAGGAUUAUAUUAUUUUCUUGUGUAUUAAUGUAAACUCGAAGCUGUAUAGGAUAUCGGAUGGUUGCAAAACAAGUUUAAGUGAAAACAUGGUUGACCUUGGAAUCGAACCGGAAAAAUAGGGUGGGUCAGGUAUAGGGUCCAAUACAAACAGGGUCGGGUACAAGGUCCAAAAAAGGGAGAAUCGAUUAUAAUAGAGUCGGGUAUAGGGUCCAGGUCUAGAUCUUACCCACUUUAGACCCAAGCACCCCUACAUGAGAAUGCAAGGGACCUUCCAGUCACCUCUUGUUGACACCUCAAUUUUAAUUAAGUCUAUCUUAUUAAUUAAGUUUUUAUUUAUCUUGUCUUUUUUCGGAAUAAUAAACAAAUAAAAGAAAACAAAAAUCAAAAACAAAACAAAAGCAGAAAGAAAGCAGGAAAGCCCUCGCAUGGGCCCGCGAGGCCCAUUUCCGUGUCAGCCCAGCCCAGCCAGGUCUUCUUCUUCCUCGCGCAGUUACAGCGCAUGCGCAGAGGGCGCGACGCCGGAGCGGAGGGGAGGAGCAGCAAUGACGCACAUGGAGUAGAGGGCGGUUGGCAUCGGAUAAGAACGUGGGAGGGGCAACUGGCAUCGGAUGGGACGCCGGUUCGGCCGGCGGGGACCGCUUGGCGCGCGGGGACCGGUGGUCGAAGCUCCGUCGACCGGUUGCCCCCUCGCCUAUAAAUAGGCCCCCGUUUCCGACAGCGAAGGGCACGCCGAGAAGGAUCGAAGGCUGCAGAUCCUCGAAACCUCCCACUGAGAGACUUCAGAACGGGGGGCUGAGGACGAGCACGCCGAGAUCCAAGGUCGGCCAGAGAAGUGAGCGCAGAGACGCGCAGAGGAAGGAGAAAGGGAGAGGGAUCGAGGUCGCGACCCUUGGACACCCCACUGAGAGACUUCAGGGGGGCCGGGGGGCCGGGGGCUCGCGGCUUCGGAUCUGGGCUUCGCCGGAGUAGAGACAGAGAGAGAGAGGGACGCCGGAGAAGAGGAGAUCCGCGUGGGUCUCGCUGUCGUGCCGCCCCCGUCGCGCCGUUGCCACGAACAGGUAUCGUGAUGUCGCCGUCGCCAUCUCCCUCUCCGUAGUCCGGUCACCGUUGCCGUCGCCGUUGUCGCCUUCGUCGUCGCCGCUGUAGUCGCCGUCACCGACAAACACCUCGGUUUCCCACCUCGGUUUCCCCCCUCGGCGCCGUGGAUUCGCAAACCCUAGGGUUUGCGAUUUUCCGGGUCGCCGAGUCGGAUCCGGGUCUCAGAGCCGGGUAGGGUUUCGCGAGAUUCAGGGGCGGCGGGAGUCGGGUCGCGAUUCGGGUCGGAUCCGGGUAGGGUUUACGGGGAGUCGGGUCGUGGAGCGGGCUGUCGGGCCGGGCUGGAUCCCUCCCAAAACGACGGGCCACGACGCCGUUUCAGCAAAAUAAAAAAAUAAAAAAAAUAAAAAAGCCGAAAAAUCCGAGUCGGGCCCGCGUUUGGGUCGCCGGCCCGGGUCGGACCUAACGCGUGGAUCCGACCCGGGCCGGUUUUGUUUUAUUAUUUUAAUAUAAAAUAAUAUUAUAAUAAAUAAUAAAUAAAUAAUUUAUUUUCAAAAAAAAAAUCAAAAAUGUUUUAAUUUCCAGAAAAUCGAAAAAUAUUUAAAAAUAUCGAAAAAUGUUUUAUUUUCUAAAAAAUCGAGAAAAAUCAAAAGAUAAUUUAUUUUCCAAAAAUAUAAAAAAAUAUUAAAAAAUAUUUUAUUUUUCGAAAAAUAAAAAAAAAUCAAAAAUAUUUCAUAUUUUCCAAAAAAAAAGCCAAAAAUUCAGAAAAAGCCAAAAAGACUUGUAUUUUUCCAAAAAACCCCCAAAAAAAUCCAUUUUGUGUCCAAAAAAAUUAGAAAAUGACUCAAAAAAUGUUUUUCCUCCCAAAAAUGCAUGGAAAAUCUCUCAAACAUCCAAAAAGCCUUAGGGUUUAAACAAGAUUAGGUACCGAAAGGGCAUUAGUGAUUAACUAGUGUAAUCAAGUCCCCGAUCCUAAUUUCUCUGGUUGCGCAGGAGCGAGUAUUUCUCCCGAUACUUCGCUUGGGUUUCUAAUCGACCCACUCCAAAUCGAUUAGUGGCGACUCCAUUUUAAAAUUAAUUUAUAGGUUAAAAACUUAAACUAUUAAAGUCGUGAAUUGGUGGACUUGGGAGAGUCCGGGCUUAAUAAAUUCAGCCAAGCCAUUAGCCUCCUUAGGCGCCCGUACCCGAUUGCGAGCGCCAGAAAAAAAGAGGUCACUUCACCUCUCUGUCAUGAAAGCAACCAAAUUAGGUGUUUACCUAAGGCAAUGUUCAUGAAAGUCAACUGCUUUGUCUUAUAUACCUAUUGUCUAGAUUAUUCUUUAGGUAUAAAAUUGUCAAUUGCAUCUCUCUAGCACUUGCAUGUCAUCUAUUUCUGAAUAGAACAAAAGGAGGGAAAGUGCAACAGAACAGUAUGUAGAAGUCUUAUGCAAAAUCCCUUCAAUUAGCUGACACAUACAAGGAAGUGACAAAACGAAGGAACUCACUUAAAAGCAGUACCUCUCAUUGAUGUGCAUAUUUUUUUAAGUGUGUAACCUAUAUCAAUUGUGUGAAGUACCCAAUCACACCAAUGCACGCCCAAACUUGCACAUCGGUAAGGACUAAAAAAAUAUCUUAGUUCUCAAACUAGUGGUAAAAGUGAAGCAACAUUUACACAAGAAGAACCUUGAAAACAAGUCCUCUUUAUUACUUGGUUUACCAGUGGAUGCAAGGCAAAUAAACAAAUUUGCUUAACCGAUUAUUACGAUAACCACUAAAUUGCGGCCAAGGACUUCACUUUCAUGGCACUCAUCAGUCACCAUGAUAGGUGGGUUAUCCAAAGCGAGUCAAUCAAGCAUAAUGAUUUGCAAGGAAUAACAAACCUGUAAAUGACAUAGCUUGUUUCGGUUUCUGCUUAUAAAUCCACGGCCAACCUUCAAGAGAUAUCUAUAGCAGCUAGUUUAUGUUAAAGCCUUUUGACUCGAUCCUAUGGAAAUAGGAAUAAGAAAAGGUUAAAAAGGAAAAAAAGAAAAAGAAAAAAAAAAGAGAAGAGUCAGAAGUUGUCACUGAAUUUUGAAUUGACUCAUCACGGCCAAAUUAUAAAUACAACUUUUACAAGUAAAUUUCAAAUCAGAGUGUUCAGAUAUGGUCAUAAAACUAUCACUAGUACUCAUAUCAUAAUGAUGAAAGAAUAGAAAAACCUCUGAGAACUACAACUCAUAUAAUCAAAAGAUGAUCCUUAAUAGCAGAAAUACACCUUUUAACUAGAUGUCCACUCACAGUAUACACUGUAAAUGAGAGCUUCCAAAAAUUUGACACUGAUAAACCGACAAUAUAAGAAACUAGAGAGUAACUGCAUUGGUCAAACUUAGCAAGUAAAGCAUACCUUGAAUGAUUUGGAACGAUGAAUGGAGGGAUUUUUCUAUAUGGACAGGGAAUAGGAUUUGUGACAUCCCGAUUUUCCAAUUCUAUUUUCAAUAAAUUGAGACGGGCAUUUCGUUGACACGCAUAUAGUUCUUUUCCUUGAGUCGGCCACUCAUGUGAAAACUAGUCUAUCAGGUGAAGCCAUUAAGAGAUUCUAAUGCAUCAGACUCAAGAAUUUGACUAGGAAGCGACCUUUCGACCGAGCUAAUUUGCAAGGGUUAUUACGGCACAAUUAAAAAUCGAUUAGAGACUGGAGAUAGGUCGACUCGACAGAGGCAUGUGAUCAAGUGUGGGUGAUUCCACAAGAUCACACAAUUCUUGUCGAUCGACACUAGACCGGCUUUUCUAUUGUUUGGGUACCAUGUGUGUGUGUUUGAAACCUUGAGAUUAUCCUGACAACCGAGAGUCGCCAAUGUGUCAAAGAUGUACAUUGUGGCUUGAAUUGAUCAACCACGGGUCAAAUGCACGAAAAUUUCUAAAAGCUACCCGGUAGAUCAAGAUGCGCUAAUAUCGUGCCAAAGUGAAAUUAACCGUGAAAUUGAGAUUGAAUUCAGAAAUUGGAAGUCAUGGUGUGUCACAAAUUAUUUUAGGAACAUUAACUCAUCUUCGGAAGAUUUUUCAUGUAAGCCGAGUUUUUCAGCAAAAUAAUUAGAGAAUGGCUAAUUUGACUCAAGAAAUUAGUAGGCUCGCAUUUGGUCGCGCUUUUGGGACUUAAGUUGGUUCUACGGACAAGUGAAUAUGUGAAUUGAAGUGUGGUGACAUUUGAUUAAUUUUAUGGACUUCAAUUGGACUCAAUUGGAAGAGAAUUGAAUGUAAUUGAAGAAAUUAAUGUACAAGAUUUUAUGCCCCGGCGGAAAAUGAAAUUUGCACCCAUUGGAAGAGGUUGUGGAGGAUUGAGUUAGUGGAGUAUGACAUCACUUGGUGAUGUCAUGGUGUGGGGCAAGAGUGGCUAGGAUGUUGACAAGUGGAGGGUGAGGAUUUGCUCUUGGAAAGGUGGGCUAUUACCAUCAUCUUCUUCCUUGAAUCAAGGGAGCUUGUUGGGUUUUGAAAAGAGGAGAGAGAGAGGAGCUCGAUCGGUUGGACCAGCAGCCCCGAUGCCCCCUUCGUUCGCCUCCUUUGCUCGCUCGACACCGCCGCUUGUCGCCGGAGCCGUCGCCAUCGCGGUCGUCACCCAUCUGCAUGCGCCUCGUCGGCCAGCUCGUCGUUCCGCCGUAGCUUGAGCGCCCCCGAGCUUCCAUCAUCUUCGUCAGCCGCUGUUCUUGGUCGUCUAGCUCGUCGGAGAGCCACCGUGAGCCAGCCGAAGCUAGCUUGCCGCCAGUGCCACUUCUCCUCCGCUUGCACGAUCGGCCGACUCGCGCUCGACUCAGCCACUGCUAGCGCGACCAGGACCUUGCAGCUCCGUCAUCCGCCUCUGUCCUUGGUCGCUAGCCACCACCGGAGGUCUUGCUUGGCCGCCGAAGUCAUCGCUUCCACUUGAACGAGCUGCCGCCGCUCGUUUCCGCCGGUCCCGCGCCCAAUUGGUGACCAGAGCACCCUUAACCAACAAGGAGCAGCCACCGGAGUUCCAGCCCUAGUCGGAUCUUCAAGGCCUGUUUUGGGUGUCUUCCAGUCCUCUUUUGGCGUCGCCCCGAGGAGAUUUGUCGACGGCCUCGCCAUCCUCUUCGCCGAGGACUCGUCGAAAAGCGAUUCCAGUGAAUUUAGCUCACUAAAUCUUGAUUAGAUGGUUAAUGAUGCCCUAAGUGUGCUUAGUCUAAGUUAAGUAAGUUUAGGUGGUUAGAUUAAUUUAUUUGGUUGAGGAUUAGAUUAGGGUGUUUAAUUAAGUUAAAGUGUGUUUAGUUUAAAGCUAAGUAGGUUUAUUUUAAUAUAAGCCUUGAUGUGACAUAAUAUGUUUUAUUUUUUAUUUAUUUAAAUGUUUCGAAAUUCUGGAAUUUUUAAUAAUUUAUUAUAUUCCGAAAAUUAUUUAAAAUAAAUAAAUAAAUAAAUAAAUUCAAAACAAAUAUUUAUGACCUCAAUUGCUCAGAAUUUCGUGCUGAUCGCUGCUGUGUAUUCGGAUUUUGAAAUUGAUGGGUGGAUAUUAUAAAUUGAGUGUGGAUUGUGAAAAAUAUAGAUAUUAUUAAUUAAUUAAUUUUCGGAAUAAAUUUAAUUAUUUAAUAAAUUCUGAAAAUUAUUUCGGGACUCUAAAUUCUCAGAAUUUCACGCUGAUCGCUGCUGUGUAUUUAGAUUAUGAAUUUAAUGAUUAGAUAUUGCAAAUUGAGUGAUGAUUUGUGCAAUUGAUUAUUGAAUUGUCGUGUGCUGGUUGAAAGAUUCGAUCGCAGUAGUGGCUACGCCAACUGGACCUUUAUUCCUUUAGAAAUGCCGUCAAUAGAGUGACGUGGCUCGGGUCACAGUAGAGGCUAGGCCAAUUGGACCCAUGCUCCUUCGGGAAUGCCGUCGACGUAGUGACGAAGCCGCGCUCCAAGGGGGAGGCAAUGUCUGGCAUUAAUGUCAGUAGAUAGCCGAACUGUGAGUAGGCUAUGCCCUUGAGUGUCAGUGAAUAAUAAUUGGAAUGCGUGCUAAGUGCGAUUGCGAUUUAUAUGAAAGUGAUGGCGUUCCCAUUUGUUUGAAUUAUUAUUACUACAUGAGAUUGUGUGAUACAAAUUGUGCUAAUCUGCAUGAACGAAUUAAGGCGAGGUAAGUCUUCUGUGUGAUGUGGCUAGGCCACUCAGGGUGUAUUUUCUUUCUAAUAGGGGUUUAGGGGGUUGAACUUGCUGAGACAAUGUCUCAUCCCGGUUGUGGGAGUAAAAUUUCAGGUCCUUGGUGGACGGAGCGGCCAGAAAACUUUGGUUGGCUUUGAGGAGUUGCAGAGGUGAAGUCAUAAGGAUUUCAGAACGUGUCCGACUUGUAGGUCGUAGGACAGUUCCUUUUUAAGAGCCGAUCUUUUGUAGACUUUUGGCCGUAGACCUCUGUUUGUAAUUCUGUUAAAUUAUAAAAGUGUUAUGUUGUGGUUUUGCUUCCUGCUUUUCUAUCCCGUAUUUCAUUGUCAGGGGUUUUAUAAUACGUUCCGUUUGCGCAAUAAUAAAUGAAUGCGGUCGGCGACACUACCUGGAAAUGUCGCAUUUGCAUGACCAUGGUGGGAUGUUGGCGCGCUCGAGGUUCGGGACGUGACAGGACUUCUCAACUUCAUCAAACUGUUCCACUGCCAUGAGAAAAUGCCCUUGACAAAUAUAAGCUAGAGGAAGGAAAGAACAUUGGCUUUAGAAUUAUAACAAUAGCAAAAAUUCUCACUGAUAUAUGGAUCUCUCUUUCCCUCUCUAUUUCCGGUCCAAAACCACUGAUGAGAGCAAGUACCCAGGUCUCUAAUACCUAAAACACAAAAUUCGGUAAUCUUAAGGUUAUUUAUUAAUGGAGUAUUGCAUUUUAAAGAAAGAGAAUUCUCCCAUUUCUUGAGAUCAUGGGCACGGUGCAAUCGUAAAGGUUUUAGAAAAUCUGGAAAAGAGACUGUGUUCUGAUUGCUCGAGAAGUAGGUCAGACCCUUUACUACUUAACACAAUCUAGACGUUAAAUCAUGCACAUGCAGUAAAUUACUUGAAUCUCGUUACCUAAAUAGCCCUUGGCCCGUCUCCUUCCCCUUUUUCUCCCUAUUAGUGAAAUCAUAAGAGACUACAGGUUCCGUUUUUAGAUUUAUUCCUGAGGUCAAGUUGUUGACGCUUCUUUUGCAUCUUAAAGAGCCCAACUAGAGUUGUCCAUUCCCAACCUCACAACAGACCUGAACAAAACAUAAACCUCUAAUCGAUAAUUCUUCAAGAACCCAACUAUAGUUGCACAUCCCCAACCUGACAACAGACUUGAAUGAAAGUUUAACCUCUAAUUCAUAAAUCUUCAGACCUGAAUGGAGCUCAAACCCCUAAUUCAUAAAUCUUCAAGAGCGGCACUAUAGUUUCACCUUCCCACCUUUUCAGCAACAACGUGGGUUAUAUAAUCAAAAUGAAAUGUUAACAUGAAUCUCUUAUUCAUCCACAAAGGCGCCACAUUUAGCGCAAACUCAUUCACAUCAUUAGCAAAAUCAACACUUACACCUUGCCAACUACAGUAAAGGGGUAAACUCUCAUCUUGGAAUAAUUGUUACGUAGUGGUGACAAACCUAGAAAGUUCACCAUCAAACUGUGGCAAUAUGUAGAAAAUGGGAAGAAGGGCACCUAGAGUUGGCAUAAAGGGACAAUUAAGUGUCAAAAGUUAUGAAAGUAAUACUUAAAUGUCACUUUUUUUGAAAAAUGAGACAUUUGAGUGCCAAGUUUGACGAAGGUGGCCAGAAAUCUUACGUGACAAUUUUUUAAUAAUAUAACUCGCUUACGUGACACGCUGGAGAGUUGAACCAGCAAUGAGUCACCAAAAUGACAUCGUCUUGUCUUUUUUAUUUUAUUUUAUUUUAUAAUUUCAAUAUAAAUAUUUGAUGAGGUUGGGCCUUAGCUAGGGCCAGUGACCCAAUCGACCGAUGAUGAGGGCCUAUGAGCCCUAGCUUGAUUUGGGGGAGGACUGCGACCCUUGCCCCAGACUUGGGUGACAGCUCAUAGGCCCUCGCCGUCAAUCGAUCGAGGUCAUCAAGCCUUGACUAGAGGGCUCGCAGGCCCUCACCAUCGAUUGAUCAGGAUCGCCAGCCCCUGGCCAAAGCUCGGCGACCUUGGCCAACCCUUCCUUGCCAUCGCCGACCUUUCCUAACAAAGGUGGGGGCCCUCACUGCUUGCAACCUCCAUCUUCCUCUCUUUUUUUUUUUCUUAAAAUAUAAAUUUGGUUUUAAAUUUUAUUUAAUUGAUAUUUUUAUUAAUUAUAUAUCCAUUUCGGUAGCAAAACGAUGUCGUUUUUGCACUCGUCUAGCCACAUCAACGUGCAAAACGACGUCGUUUUGCACUUAUAUCACUGGAAAAUUGCCUUGUCCAUAUUUUGACAAGAUUUUCUCGACUUAACUAAUCAAUUUUGCUCCGAUUUUACCACUUAAGUGUCCAUCCGUGCUAAGUUUUGGCAUUUCAAGUGAUAUUUUCUCAUAGAAAAUAUCUCAACCUCAGACAAUAGGAAUUGAUGGACCAACCUAUCUUUACACAUGGCAUUGAUCCCACCGGCCUCAUUGCUAUAAGUUUACAACCCGCGUAACAAAGGAAAAACCGUCUUUACCGUUCCUCCAUCUGCUACAGGAUCAACUGCGGUCUACUCAAUCGUUUGAAAAAAGGACCAUGCACUUAUUCUCUGAUCUCUAUAAGCAAAUGCUCCAAAAUAAGCAAAACCAACCCAAUUCAUCCACCAGUUAACCCGUGACAUACGACCGUUCCCAAACAACACCGAAUUACAGCCAAACACGCGUCAACCAGAACCUACUUGAGACCACGGCAUCGAAGAAACGCCCCCUUUCCAGUUCGCUCUCGGCUCUCUUCCUCAGCACGAGUGCCUCCAGGCUUCCCAACAUGUCGUUGUUGGCGUCACAGAAGAUCCCCGGUGCCAUGGUGGCUGACGGUGACGCACUUUGGCAGGAGGGCGGGGUUGGGACUGGAGUCGCACUGGCCCAAGCAACCGCGGGUCUUGACGGCGAUGCCAAGCGGGGCGAGGCCGGAGAGGGCCUCCAGGGUUAAGGUGAGCUCCAUCAUAUCCUCCUCCAGGCAAGGAUGGUGGUGUCACAGCCGUUUCUAGCCUAAGUCAAUGCAUUUUCCUAAAUCAUAUGCUGUUUCCUUGACCUCGGCAGGGUCAGCAUUUGGAAAAAUACUUUAUACAGUUGACUUUUUAUUAUUCUGAGAGCAGCGAAUGAUACGAAUAACUUAUAUAUACAUGUAUAUAAUGACAGGACAAAAAUUCCUUUACCUUUAUUUUCUAAAAAGGUGAGAACGAGCUGCCAAUGCUGAUAACUCUCUUUGGACAAAAUCAAAAAGUCUCACAUCCAUUACGAAAUGUCGGAUUAAGCAAUAGUUAUCAUGUACCACUCAUGGCCUAAAGAAACAAGAUUGGCCAGCCUUUACCAUAGGGCCACUAAUAUGCUAACUGCAGAUUCCUCAAUACUAAGUAUGCAGUAACUAAGUAAUGCAGCAUGAUCGUUUAGAGGUUUGUCCACGAUGCGAAUCGCACUUAUGACUUUGUUGAAAACAGGUGACUCUUUUAUGACUAAAUCAACCACCUUAUAGGUGACUGACUUGUGAGAUUUUAGUUUGGUCUUUUUGCUUAGAGCAAAUGGGACCUUAAAAACUUAAGUUGUCGUCGUACUCGUGACUUCGUCGAAGAUGUGUGACCUUUCCGCAACGAGAUCAACCACCUUAGAGGUGAUCGACUUGUGAGAUUAUAGUAUAGUCUUUGCUAAGAGCAAAUGGGAGAUUAAAAGCUUACAUUGUUAGAGAAAUAUGUGAUUUAAAUAUUCUAAUGUGAAAAUAUUUCAUUUGAGAGUCAAAUAGGAGCUUUGGAAAUUUGAACUAAGGACUCUUUCUCCGAUAUGAUAUGAGAUUUUAUGGGAUCGGUGUUGACUACUCUAAAAACUUAAAAUGUCAUAUUAAAAUAUGAUUUAAUAUUUAAAUAUUCUAUCAUGAAUUUCAUAUGAUUUGGCUAUAGAUACUUAACCAUCCAAUUUUAUGAUUGAAUCACUAAAAGGAUUUCUGUGAAAAGGAAAACAGAGAAAGAUUUUUUUUUUUUUAAUAUAUCAUAAUGCAAUUGCCCAAAUCAUUAUAGUCUCUUUGAAUGGUGGAGUGGUGUUCGUGCAUCAUUUCUGAUGGGAACUAACAUGAGUUCUUUUGUUGACGGUGAUCUUGUGCACAUUGCAACUGGUCACUCAUGUUUAGAUUGAGAUCACACCUUGAAUCUUAAAAGUAGCACUAAUCAUUAACUUGCAAGUUGCGCUGGAUUAAAGCUAAAGUUCAUAAGUAAGAAUAACUUGUAUAUCAAACUUAACAGACAUGUCAAUUAUAUCAUGGUUUAAAUUUUUGACCUACAUCUGUUAUUAGGUGAUGCCUUUUGUACUGUAUAAACCUGUGUUAACUGCUAGAGUUUUUGCAGUGGGGAUUUUAUUUCCUUACAAUUGACGAACAAUAAGAAUGUUGUAAGUUUUUUGUUUUUUGUUUUGGUAAGGUAAGUGAUAUAUUGACUUUUAACCAAAACUAUACAAUAGAAGGAUCUCGGUAUUAUAAAACUUACACUCAUGCUGACGAACAUGUCAAAACGAGUGGAAGGGUGUCGAGAAAAAAGGAAAGAAUCAAUAGCCAAACAAUAACAAACAACCAACCAACCAGCAUUGGACAACAACCAAAAUUUUGGCAACAAAGGAAAGAAACAAGGACAGGAUGGCUAGACAGCAACAACGGCCUCCACCUAGUAAGGAACAGGCGCCCAACGUCGAUGAUCCUUGAAACGCGGCAGAAACGGGAACACUGAAGGAAACUGGAACCAGCUCCCCACUUCACUCCACGCAUCUAACCGCAACCUAGAUAACGUCAACCCUCAAACUACUAGGGAAGACUAGAAACCUAUCAAGAGAAAAUGGAGGGAUCGAGUCCCCAACUGCACUGAAUCCUCAUGUUUCUUGGCGUAUCCGCUACCUGGUUGAAAGUUGAAGCCUUGUCCUUAACGACUCUGGACAAGUGGUUCUUCAAGGCAGGUAGGAAGAGGGCAUGACUCUGGAAGAAAAUAUUGUUCCUUGUCUUCCAAAUAAGGUGACAAAGAGCACCAAAAGCAAACCGGGCAAUGCAAUGGGAGAAGUCGUUGCCAGAUAUAUGUUUAAUGGUCCAUUGUAAGUUUUUUGUCUAGGACCUGUUUUGCCAAGAAAGAUUGCACUUCGUAGCCCAAAAUGCAGCAAGAGAAGCAGUAACAUGACAACCAAAAAAUAAGUGAUCAAUCGAAUUAGGUGUGAGAUUGCAAAAUGCACAAGAACCCUCAGCAAUCCUGCCAUUAGAAAGUAAGAAGACCUGGGUAGGUAGCCGAUUUUUGGUGAUGAGCCAUAAGUGAAACCAGUACCAUGGAGAUAGAGAAGAGUUCCAUAUAAAAGGAUAUCAAUGGACGAGAUUUCUCUUCGGAUGGAUUGCAUCCCAAGCUGAAGCAAUCGAGAAGAUCCCUGAAGGGUGCUCCGUCCAAAUGAACCAAUCAGGACCUGCGAGAGGGUCGGAAGAGGGAGCAACCAAACAAGAUAGCCUUAGUGGUGUUGCCUUGAGGAGAAAACAGAUCUGCAACCGAAGCCCGCCUAGGAAGUCCAGACCGAUAGAUGAAAGAAUUUGAGAAAAAAUAGUUCAAUGGACCCCUAGGGCGUUAGGGGUUGAACCAGAGCGAAACCGAGAGACCGUCUCCAACACGCCAAGAAAACAACUUCUGACAGACCUUUCUUAGAUAAGGAGUUUCCUCCAAGCCCAAGAACAAAAAGUUGGUUUAGAAGCAACCCACAAGUUAUUGUUCUUUAAAUAGGUAGCAUGUAUCCAUUUGCACCACAUAGAUUAUUUAUUAGUGAAGGGAAUCCAGAUGUGCUUAAACAAAGCCGCAUUAUUGCAAUGCCGGAGCUUGCGAAUACCUAAUCCUCCUUCUUUUGGGAGGCACACUUCAUCCCAAGCUACUUUUGCACCCCCGUUACCAAGACUAGGACCUUUCCAUAAGAAUUGUCUAAAGACUUGUUCAAUACGGUCUAGAACAAUCCUAGGUAGGAAAAACAUACUCGCCUAAUAAACUUGUAUAGAGUGGAGGACCAACCUUAUGAGUUGUAGGCAGCUCGCAAAGGAUAGAAAUCGAUGAGUCCAAAACUGUACUCUAGCUGUAAUGAGGUUUACAAGGGAGACACAAUAUGAUUUACCAAGCUACAUAGAGAUGAUCGGGACCCCUAAGUAUCGAACCGGUAAAGUACCUUCUCGGAAGUCGAGGAUGUGAAAAAUCUGUGAUCGGAGGCUAGCUGGUCCACCCGAGAGAAAAACUUCAGAUUUAUUCAAAUUCAGUUUUAGCCAACUCCAAGAGGAGAAAGUAUCAAUACCAUCCUUAAGAAGCGAAACUGAAGUCAUAUUUGCCUCAUAGAAGAGGAAGACAUCAUCGGCAAAAAACAAAUGAGAUAAGCAAGUUGCUUUACAUCUCCAAUAGAACUUGAACUCCAGUUGGCUGGAUUGGCGAAGAAGGAUCCCCGAAAAAACCUCCAUAACCAAGGUAAAAAGGUAUGGAGAUAUAGGGUCCCGUUGGUGAAGACCACGCCCACUGGAGAAGAAGCCAUGGAGCUCACCAUUGAUGGAUAACGAGAACUUAGGCAUCCGAAUGCAAGUCAUAAUCAACUGAACCAAAUGACUAGGGAAACCUAUCGCGACCAAAAUUUCGGGUGUGAACCACCUAAGGUUUGGCUAAUGGAUUGUUAAGCCUAGACUUAACUCGGGUUCUCCCAAGCCUAUACCAAUUCGCGACUUAGGUUCAAAUUUCUUAACAUGCAAUUGAUUUUCAAUUAGGAGUCGCCACUAAUCUAUUUUUGGUGGGUCGAUUAGGAACCUAAGUAAAGUAACGGGAGAUUCACUUUACUCCUAUGAACUAGAGAUUAUGGGUACGGAGACUUGGUUACACUAGAUUUCUCUAAUGCCCUUUUGGUACCAUUUCUUUUAUUUUCGAAAAUGUUUGUGCGGGUAGCUUGAAUUGAUUUUAAAUCUACUUCCCUAACAUGUGAAGCGAUCAUGCGGGUGUACAAACCACCAAUUUAACACCCAACUAAAGCAAUAAAUAAAUUGUAGGACUUACCUCGUAGCAACGAAAGCAGCUGCGUUGUUAAAUUAAAAUCUACAUCAACAACCCUAGAUAUGGUUUCUAAUUAACACGCAAUUACUCAAUUUUCGUUUUCUCUUUUUCAACGAGAAUAUAGUCCAUAUGCAAUGCAAUGCUUCUAAUCUAAUAUGAAAUGAUAUGGCAUGGCAAUAUGUCCUAAACUAUAUGAAUGAGCAAAAAAAAAAAAAAAUAGUGAUUUCUUAAUGAACAUGCAACAAUUAGAUAUGCAAUCUAAAUUAACCAAAAUGACCUAAUUCUAAUGACGUGCAAUGCAAUGCAAUGACGUACAAAAUUAUUUCAACUAAAAUGACAUGCAACAUGCAAUUUAAUAUGCAAGCUAUAUGUCAUGCGACAUUUAUUAAAUGACCUAAUCUAAUGACGGUUAAUUUUUAAUGAACCUAACAACAGUCACUAUAUGACAUGCAUUUCAUGAACCUAAUUCUAAUUUUUCUUCUUUUUUUCUUUUAUGAAAUUCGAAAUUAAAACUACCAAAUAAUUAAACGUGCAAUUCAAAUUUAAAACUAACAUCCUAAAUGAUUGCAUUUUUUUGGUUUUUAUUUAAGGAAUUCAAAAUAAAUAAAUUUCAUAUUCUAAAUAUGCAAGAUAACAAGAGAUUUUUUAAAACCAACCUAAUCGUAAUUCAAAUAUUUUUUGGAUUUUUCCUUUUAUGAAAAUAAAAUUGAUUCAAACACCACGACAGCAAAUCAAGCAGGAUAAGAUUGAUAUUCAAAAAUUGGUGAACCAUAUCUCGCCCAUGAGAUCGGGUUGACUAAUUUUAAAUUAAAUCGUGAAUUGAAUCCCGGGCAUGAGAUCGGAUUGACGAUUGUGCAAUAGAUUGUGAGUCGGAUUUCGGGCGCGAAAAUCAGACUGUCAAUCACAAAUUUCAGAGGCAAUUUCAUGUCGUGAAUUCUCAUCCUUACACUAAGAAAUAAUUCUACUAAAAAUAAAAAAACAAAAUAAAAUAAAUAGAAAGAAAAACUACCUACUUUGCUUUCCUUUUUUUUUUCUAGGGCUUGGCACGGCUAAGGACGGUACGAUGGUGACUCGGAACUAGGGGCUCGUCGCAAUAGUUGAACGUCGGUCAAAGAGCAGCUUGGCACAGAGACAAGAACCUGCGAUGAUAUCGACCUUGUUGAUAUGGGCGUGACUGGAGCAUAUGGCAAGGUGUCACCGCAAGGCUUGCUGGAGAUUCUGAUUUUACUGCGAGAUCUAAGCAGACCAAGCCAAAAAUCUCCGCUUUGCUUCCUCUCUUUGGGUAUCAAACUCCUUUGUGCAUGCCCUUUGUUGACCUGCAGAGAAAGAAGACAAGAACUCUCUCCAUGUUUUCUUUUACCGAAAGAUUAUGUGCCCUUCUCUUGCCCUGGAUUUUUCCUUCAAACAAAACAAGCAAUAUUAGACAAUAUAUGUGAGGAAAUUUGUGCUCGUCAAUAUUGCUCCAUGCGAUGGUGUUUGCUUGCGAUGACUCAGGGCCAAGAAACUCCGGGAUUCGCUUGGGACGUUGAAUCGUAAUAGUGGGCAAAGUGGCAACGCGUGGCAGCAAAACCCAAACAUGAACAAGGGCGUGCGUGCGUGCAAGGCAUGAAUUUUGAUGGAUGCCUAAAGUUUCAAGAGAUGGGGUUGGUUCAGGAAGACUCCUAGACUCCAAACUGACGUGGUGCUUUUGACCAAGUUCACGUGUUCUUCCUUUGCCAAGAAAUUCUUCAAUUUGUAGCCGUAAAAAUGUGAAUUUCGUGGCUUGCGGCAUGGUGAUCGACAGGUGAGACUAGGGCAGCAGCAUCGUCUAGGUCGAGGACAGUGAUGCUCGGCACAGCAAGGACUGAGAAGCGCUGGGGAUCACUAGAAACCUGCAAAUAAGGAACAAACGACUGGACGGCAACAUGAUCGGAUUGAGGCUUGUCUUUUAGCUAUUCGUGUGUGGUUCCCGCAAUGCUUUUGACGCUGGGCAGAAUUUGGAAAGAUGAAAGACGGCGGCCAGAUCCGAGGUCGCGGCCACCUCCAAUGACCAACGCAAAUUAUUUUCCUUCCAGCCAAUUCCUCUUUUUUUCGAAGCACCCUCACGUCGCUGGCUUUUCUUCUGCCGAUCCCCCCUAAAAAAGUGACAACCCCUCUUGUGCGGCCGUAUAUUCAAUGUGUGGCCUCCCCCACAAUUUACCGUACGUAAAAAUUGUAUCUUAGGGGUAUAUUUCAUUUCUAAUUUUGCUUGAGCACGAUACCCCUAAAUAUAUCGAUAAAAUAUUUUUCGCAUAUUCCAUCAAGAAAAUUCCCCGUUUGUGCAAAAGUGCAUCUCCCAGUGUAUAUUACCUAAAUAUGUGAAAAAUCUUAACGAAAUAUAACAAAAAAUAAAAUUUUCCUAAACUAUAUGCCAUGUGAUUAUGAUUUUUUUAUUUUUUAUAUUUUAUUUAGCAAAACUUAACCCCAAAAAUUUAGGUGGCAACAAAACCAAAAGCUUGGAGAGUUAAAUCCAAAAACACCCAAACAAUGGUAUCAUAUGCCUUCUGAAAAUCCACUUGAAUAGCACACUUUGGCGAGUAUAGGUCAUGGUGAAAACCGCAAAAGAGUUCUUGAGCUAACAAGAUAUUAUCACUAAUACGCCGACCUUUAACAAACGCAAAAUCUUGUAAGUUACUUGUAAAUAAAAAGAAAAAAAAAUUUAUGUUGUCUGCGAUCCGGAAGUACACUACAUGUGUCGAGGGUCCUGUUAAUAGGUGCCCUUAGAGCAUCGGCACAAUGAAGAGUGGGGAAUUACAAAUUUUCAAACACCUUGAAAAAUUGAAGAAUUACCCAUUUUAACAAAGCCGCUCACUUAUUUGAACAAAAAGAAAAAAGAAAAAAACAAAGCUGCUCACUUCAAAUAGAAAAUUUCAUAUCCAAAACAGGGGUCCAAUGGACACUUUCAACAUUUUCCUUGUGUUAGAGAGUGUUCCUAUAACAAACUUUUAGACAACUAUGCAAGGAAAUUAUUAACAGUCGUUCUGAUGCACCGACUUGUUCAAAAAUUCAACCUUUAUGUUGUGAAUACACAUCACGAUAAGCAUUUCUUGGACAUAGUUAACAUGAAUCGAUUUUCAUUUUAAUGAGAGAAUAACAAAAAAAAAAAAAUCAUAACUUAUUGUAAUUGUAUCAAUUCAGUUUUUAAUUUUUUUUUCACCAAUUGAGUUUUAAAACUUUUGUAAUUAUGUCAAUUCAGUCUAUUGAGGCAAUUUUGGCUAGCUGACGCUGAAGUAGAUAAUUUUCAAUAAUAUUUUAUUUUCUUUUAAUUUUUUUAUUAAUUUUUUUCUUUUCCUUUUCCUUUUUUCUCUUUUUCAUUCUUUUUCUUCUUUUCCCAUAGUGGCUGGUGAGGCUUCAGUGAGGGCUUCACGGCCCUCAUGGCCCUCAUUGGCCUCUGUGGGGAAAAAUUGGAAAAAGAGGAAGAGGAGAAAAAAAGAAAAUUAAAAAUUAAAAAUUAAAAAUAAAAAAAAUAAAAUAUUGAAAUAAAAUAAAAUAUUAUUAAAAUAUUAUCUACGUCAACAUUUACCAAACGAUUGGUGUCCACAUUAGUAUUUGCUAUUAGCUGGCCAAAGUUGAUCAGAUGGAUUGAAUUGGCACAAUUAUAAAAAAAUUUAUGACUAAAUUGGCCCAACAAAGUUUAAAAUUGAAUUGUCGCAAUUACAAUAAUUUUAUGAUUUUUUUGAUAAUUUUUUCCUAUUUUAGUUAGGGGAUAAAGAAAAUGCAAGAUCAUCCUUAACUUAUGUUUCUAACCCACCACGAUAAUCACGAAUAAGAGGUGGAAUGAUUUUCUUUUUACGCCAAAGGUUGGCAUCAUUGUUUGGAAUUGAAAUUGAGAUACUCACAGCAACUUUUCACGAAUUCGAGAGAUCCGUAUGCAAAAUUUCCAAUAUUUUUCACUUCUCGCACACUGUUUUCCUAUACAAUCUUUAAUUUCUUAGUGUCAAACUAUUUAUCGUCCAAUAUCCAAUGUCCCUUCAUUUUAACUAAUCCACAACCUGACACCUCCGUAGAGAUGCUCCAACAAAAUUAUCUAGAAGUGCACCUUAACCACGUUAUGACAAAGAAAAAAACAUAUUAUCUUAGGCAUUUGGCCAGUCAAGGGCUAUUUGAUGUAGAAUUAUCAAUGCUCAAAAUAAAUAUUUGCAGGGAUCCUUCCAGACAUGGGUAUGGUAAUUAUUUCUUUUAAGAAAAACAGAACUUGAUAUAUAACCCACCAAAAUAAGACAAAAUAUUAGCUUUCCCUUUUCACAUAAGCGUUCAACGACCUUUAACCUGAAUUGUGAGGGACUUAUCAUUGCCAAUAUAUGUAAUGAAAAUACACCCUACCAUGUCCGCUCGUAACAUAGACCGUAGAGGCGAGCUUACAAGAUUAGAAAUUGAUGGAGCAUUCAAUUUUACCAUAAGAGAAUUCUCUAUGUUGUUAAGACCAUGUGGGCAAUGUUAAAGCAUGUGGAAAAUCCGAAGAUGAGAUUGUGUUCUGAUUGCUUAGAAAUUGAUGCCUAUUACUUACUUUUACCAAAAAAAAGAAAAAAGAAAGUAUACUAUGCCUAUCGAACAGUUAAUUCGACUAAUCAUAAAAUCCCAUUAUUUUUCUUUAGGCUUUUGUGAAAGCGUAUCUUUUAAAACAAAAAGAAUGCCUAAGAAUCUAAUUCAAAAGUACUUUUGCAUAUUAGAAUUGAUCUAGUGUGCAAGAAGUCUUCAAAAUGUUCUUUUCUUUUCUUUUUUCCUUUGUCUCUAUCUCUCUCUCUCUCUCUCUCUUUUUUCUUAUUCCGUAAUGGAAUACAUUAAUUUUUGGAAAAAUAGUCCAAAAAAUCUUAAACCUAGUAUAAUUUUGCCAAUAUAAUCUUAAACCUUUUAAUUGCUUUAAUUGAGUCAAUCUGAUCGAUUUUGACUAGAAAUUGCUAACGACCUUGCUUGGUUUGGGCAAGGUCAUAAGCCCCUCGCUUGUGGCUAGUAAGGCCGUUGCAGCCCUCACUCAUGGCCGACGACGACCUUGCUCAAACCAAGUGAGGAGGGUUGUCACACUUGCCUGUGGCUGGUGACGGUCGACUAAUGAUCUCACUGACUAGAGUCAGAAAAAUAAGGAAGAAAAGAAAAAGAAAAUUCAAAAUAUUAUUAAAAAUUAUUUAUAUCAGCGCCGAUCAUACCAUGUGAUAGACGGGCAUCUACAUCAAUGAUCUCUAGCCAAAUUUGGCCGAAUGUGCUCAAUUGACAAGACAUGAAAAUGUUGAGGACUUAAUAAGUAAAAUUAAAAAUGUUUAGAAUUGAAUUGAUAAAAUAUAAUACUAUGUUUACGAUUUUUUGGAUAGUUAAUAAAAAAAAAAAUUCAAUUACAAGGAUAUGUUAUGUACUACGUACCAUUGCAGCAACACAGAUUAAGAAACAUUGAUAAGAUCUUUUAAUAUUAAUACUCUGUACUCAAUAUUGCAACUUUAAAAUUUUCCUUAAAAAAUCAUUGUUUCUGAAAAAAGGUGGACCACCGGCGGUUCUUAAAAUUAAGGGCACGAAAAUCAUUUGGAUUGUUUCUUUUCUUUUUCCAAUAAAUGGGUUGACCUAUGUAAUCGUGAUUAAAUUAAUUCUUUCAUGAAUUUUAACAAACCAUAUUAUUAUGGAUUAAUACCUUAAAAAAUCCAAAACUAGUACACUUGUGACAAAUUUACCCAAAACUAUUUUUUUGACCAUGAAAAACUCCAAACUGGUACACCCGUGACAAAUUUAUCCCGAUUAACUAUAAAAUACCCUAAACUAGACAAAUUUACCCUCAAACUAAUUUAUUCGACUACAAAAAACCCCAAAUUGGUAAAUUUGCAACUAAUAUAGCCUCCGCUAAAUUGGAUUAAUAUAAAAAAAAUCACAAAAAUUGUAAACUGUGACAAACGGAGCGUAAAAUCUCAAAUUGGUAUAUCAGUCAAUUGUCACAUGUCAUUUAACUUAAUAAUUUAACAUUAAAAUCUGACGAAAAUUAAUAGAGGAAAAAUUUGUUACAAGUGUAUCAGUUUGUGGUAAAUUUAUAAAAGGUAUACCAGUUUGAAGUUUUUGGUGGUCAAAAAAAUAUUUUAAGGUAAAUUUGUCACGUGUACCAGUUUGAGGUUUUUCAAGAUAUUAACUUAUUAUUUAUAUAAAAAAAAGGUUCCGACAACAAAACGUCUUUGUUCACCCCGUCCUAUUUUUCCAUGUAACCUUUACCUUAUGCGCACAUGCCUUAACUUUGCCGCAACCUGAAAUUUCGCUGAGAAAUUGAAUCGCAAAUUCUCCUUCCGUCUAUGAGCUUUUUCUCCGUUGUUUCUGACCGGUGUCCGGGGCAUCAUCGAUCGCCGCCCGUCUUCAAAUUUCUAAAGGCGCAGCAGUUGCUGUGCUCUGCAGCGGCGACCCACCGGCGACGAAUUUCUUGGGAAUUUUCUGGUUCUCAGUUCGAUCGGGGGUGUUCCCGGUCAUGGCAUCUACCAGGUACGAGAGUUGAUUCUCAAUCUGAUAUGAGUAAUCGAGUCUGAGAGAUGUGAUCGAGGCGCAUGUGAAAUUCGUCUCUGGUUAGAGCUUUAUCAGUGUUUCGAAUGUGCAUUGAGCCUGUAGCUAUAACCUGAUAGUGAUUUUUGGCCUUGGACGUGAGGGGAGGUUCAUUACUCGAAGUGCAUGCCGCCACUUAUUCGAUGAAAUGUCUGAGUGAAAUCGGAAUGCAUGUUCUCUGAAGGAAACAAGGGCAAGAAGGCAUGUGUUGAUGUGAUUUGUGUGAGAUACGCAGAUUCUUUAAAUAGUAAACCUGAUUUAGAUGCACAUCGGGGUAGCUGAAAGUCUUACUGAUCCUUUUCCAUUCUGAUUUUCUAUCUCGCUUGUCGGAUUCUGCUUUGAAUUUAGAAUCGUGAGAAACUGGGCAGAGCUCCCACAAGAGUUGUUACAACUAUGCUCCCAGCGCCUUUGUCCGAAGAAUUUAUCGGCAUUCCGAGCAGUGUGCCACUCGUGGCAAUCUGCUGCUGUCGAAGAGAGGAGCGACAUCCCAUGGUUGAUGCUCACGGACAAAGAUGGGAUGCCGUGGCGUGAGUUUUUCUGCCUCUCAUGUCAGCAGGUUCACAAAAAGUUCUUGCCGGAAAUGAUGGCAAAUGGAUAUUUCUCUUCACGAGGUUGGGUGUUGAUGACCAGCAGAGACUGGGAAUUCCGUAUGCUAAAGACUCCCAUGUGGCGUUACUGUCAUAUUAUUGAGCUUCCCAAUUGGAAUAAGUUCCCCGACAUCGAAGCUCUACCUCCCUUUUAUGUUGAAUUGGUCAGUAAGUUUGUCCUAUCUGAUUGCCCUACUACAUCUUCAGAUUACAAGGUCAUGGUCAUCUAUGACGAAGCAUGGUUAGGGCUUUGGAAACCUGGGGAAGAGGAGUGGACCGCAGUGAACUCCCAUGCACUUGGAUUUUACGAUGUCAUAUAUUACAAGGGGUCCUUUGUUGCUGUCGAUCAUGAAAAUAGGAUAUUGAGGUGCGAUGUAGAUGGACCAGCUCCGUUUGAGGCUCAAGUAGUUUUCGAGGUGCCUCGAAGACUCCAAGAAUUCAAGCAUGAGUAUCCCUCAGGAUCCCUUUGGGAAUUGGAUCAAGUGUAUCUAGUGCAAUCAAAGACAGGAUCUCUGUUGUUUGUGUCAAGGGAAAAACUAACAUCUACCAGAACCUUUCGAUUCUGUGUUCUCGAGAUUGACCUGGAUACUCAAACAUGCACAGAAGUUGAGAACUUGGAGAACACAUCCCUCUUCUUGGGCGACAAUUCUUCCUUCUCUUUGGAGGUCGAUGAAGAUCAUCUCGUCAAGCCAAAUUGUAUUUAUUUUACUUACUCUUGUCUCUCAUCGUCCCAGUUUACCGAAGACGGAGGAGACACAGGCAUGGGAAUAUACCACCUCGAAGAUGGUACGGUCGAGCUGCAUGUCAAGGGGAAAUCUUAUCCUCUGCUUUGGAUCGAACCAUGCUUUUAAGCCAUAGCUAAAAAGUUUGGUUUGUUGUCAAUGAUGAAGUGAGCAGAUUAGUGGAAUGACAAGCGAUAGAUACACGGUUAGUCCAAAAAGUUAGCAAUUCAUUUUAAAUGUUUGAAAUUGUUAGGUCAUUGGAAGUAAAAUUGUACUGACAUCUGAAUUUUGCUUUUAAUGCUUCGAAUUUUACACUUAAUAUUGGCGAUAUUUUUGUAUUAGCUGUCUGGGUGUCUGUUCUACACAAAAACAAAAGAGUGAAGGCAAAACAUAGGGUUUGAACUUCGAACAAGGAAAAAGAUGAAGGGUUGAAAAUAAUAUUGAUUCCUUAAGUGGGGUUAACUAUUCUUCCUUUUUUUUAUUCAUUAGGCCUUACAUUAAAUCCACAGACCAAAAAGAAUUCUGCAGUAACCUCUCUCGCAUGAAAGGGGGAUAUUCAACUGUAUUAUCCGAAUCUCUACACUACACAUUUCAAGUGACAUACAUUUUCUAGUAAACAAUGAAAAGCAAAUCAUUAUGGCCAGUGAAAUUAGUAAAUAUCAUGUUGUUAAUAAGGAUCUCGCCAAUCUUGAAUGAUUAAUUGCAAUGUUUAUAUAUUUGAUUCGAUGAACAUUUUGUGAUUCGAUUCUUUUCGUAUAGCUAAGUUCUAGCUAUGAAGUGUAAAUAUCCAAGAAUUUGUUAAGGCUUCCUCCACAAAUUGGAGCUGCAACCACGAACACAUGUUAGGGCGUCUAAGUCGAUUGCCCAGAUUGGCCGUUGGAUGCUUAAGUCGUAGUUUGGAGAUGGUGGAGACUAAUGAAGUUUAGAUAGGCGUAAAGAGUUCUUGCCCGUUGGGUGAGGAUUGACAGAUGAUGACCAAACUAUAAGUUUCGAUCGGUCAUAAUUAAUGGCAACACAUUAUGACAACUAUGAUAUGCGUUGACAUGUGACGGUCAAACCGUCCACAGGGCUAAUAGAUGCUUAGUCUUUUAAUAAUUCCUCCAAAACGAUAGCUUAAGUGGAGGUCUCUUGACUUGGUCUUGACUGAAAAUCCGAGUUGCAUCCUUUCAUCAGGUGGGGUUACUAUGGACACUUGACGGUCUAGUGGCUUGCCAAAUCCAUCAUUAUUAGAAACAAUCGAAAGUCAUUUAUUGAUAGCACUAGAGUGAAGUACCAGAGUCAAAGCAAAAGCAUGGAUGAAUUGGCAACAGCAAAUGCUGUUCAUUAAUAUUGUUAUAGUAAGAAUGGUCAAAUAGUAUCUUAUAUAAAUAAUAACAGCAUAACUUACAAAUUGCUCUCUACCUUAUAUGAGCAUCCGCAAUAGGGGAUGAAACCUGAUCUCUCCACCAGCUAAACUUAUGCGGUCACAAUAGAAACUCGAAAACCCAAAAGCUUCUCCUCUUCAUUGGUCCCGCUUACAAGAAACAUAAACUACACUUACGAAAAUUGCAAUGCAUGCUCUCACAGAUUUUGUCCUUAAACUGAGAUAGUAGGUUAACGCUGGACGCCUCUUUGGUAGACCUAGAAUUUUCUCAAAAAGAAAAGGAGUGCAAAGCAUAUGAGCAUGAGUGUGCUCUCACUUAUUACGCGCUAAUUAUGCAGAAAUAGCUACUCAUGCAUGAGAGUCUUGCAUUUGAUGGAGAGCCUUUGAUCAUUUCGUUGCUGCACCACAAACAUGAGAAUGCACGGGACCUUCCAGUCACCUCUCUCUCAUGGAAGCAACCAAAUUAGGUGUUUACAUAAGGCAAUGUACAUGAAAGUCAACUGCUUUGUCUUAGAUACGUAUUGUCUAAAUCAUUCAUUAGGUAUAGAAUACUCAAUUGUGUCUCUCUAGCACUUGUCUAUCAUCUUUUUCUUAAUAGAACAAAAGGGGGGAAAGUGCAACAGAAUAUAUAUUAUAGAUGUCUUCUGCAAAAUCCCUUCACUUAGCUGACACAUUACAAGGAAGUAACAGAACCAAGGAGCUCACCUAAAAGCAGUACCUCUCAUUCCAUGGCAUGCUCAUUUUAAGCGUGUAACCUUUAUCAAUUGUGUGAAGUACCCAAUCACACCAAUGCCUCCCAAAUCCUGCACAUCAGUGAGGACUAGAAAAAUAAGAUCUUAGUUCUCAAACCAUUGGUAAAAGUGAAGCAACGUUUACACAAGAAGAAUCUUGAAAACGAGUCCUCUUUAUUACUUGCUUCACGAGCGGAUACAAGGCAAACAAAAAAAUGGCUUCAUUGAUAAUUACGAUAAUCACUAAACUGCAGCUAAGGACUUCACUUUCAUGGCACUCACUAGUCACCAUGACAGGUGGGUUAUCCAAAGCGAGUCAAUCAAGCAUCAUAUUUGCAAGGAAUAACAAACCUGUAAACAACACAGCUUGUUUCGGCUUACUAUGGUAGCUAGUUUCUUUUGAAGCCUUUCAACUCGAUCCUGUUGAAAAAGGAAUAAGAAAAGGUAAAGAAAAAGAAGAGUGAGGAAUCGGAAGUCGUCACUGAAUUAUUGCCAAAUCAUAAAUACAGCUUUUACAAGUAAAUUUCAAAUCAGUGUGCCCAUGUCAAUAGAAAAUUGUUAAAGGAGACACUCAUGGUCAUAAAACUAUCAUAUCAUAAUGAUGAAAGAAUGGAAAAAUCUCUAAGAACGUUAACUCAUAUUGUCAAAAGAUGAUCCUUAACAGUAGAAAUACACCCUUUAACUAGAUGUCCACUCAUAGCAUAUACUGUAGAGGAGAGCUUUGCAAAAAUUUGACACUGAUAAACUGACAACAUGAGAAACCAGAGAUAUUCUCUGCUCUAGUUAAACUCAGGAAGUAACGCAUACCUUGAAUGAUUUGGAACGAUGAAUGGAGGUAUCUAUCCGUAAGGAUGUGAAGUAGGACUUCUCAGCUUCAUCAAACUAUUCCAUGCCACGAGAGCAUCGCCUUGACAAAUAUAAGCUGGAGGAAAGAAAGAACAUUUGCUUUAAAAAUAUAACAUGAGCAAAAAUUCUUACCAAUAUAGGAAUCUCUCUUUCCCACUCUAUUGCUGGUCCAAAACCACUGAUGUAAGCAAGUACCGAGGUCUCUAAUACCUAAAACACAAAAUUCGGUGAUCUUAAGGUUAUAUAUUGAUGGAGUAUUGCAUUUUAAAGAAAGAUAAUUCUCCCAUUUCUUGAGAUCAUGGGCAAGGUGCAAUAAUGGUAAAGGUUUUAGAAAAUCUGAAUAAGAGAUUGCGUUCGGAUUGCUCAAGAAGUAGGUCAGACCCUUUACUACUUAACACAAUGUAGAUGUUAAAAUCAGGCACCUGCAGUAAAUUAUGUGAAUCUUGUUACCUAAACAGCACUUGCCCCGUCUCCUUCCCCUUUCCCUCCCUAUCAGUGAAAUCAGAAGGGGCUACAGGUUCAGUUUUUAGAUUUAUUCCUGAGAUCGAGCUUUUGGCGCUUCUUUUGCAUCUUAAAGAGCCCCACUAGAGUUGCCCAUUCCCAACCUCGCAAGAGAUUUAAACAAAGCAUAAACCUCUAAUUGAUAAAUCUUCAAGAACCUAACUAUAGUCGCACAUUUCCAACCUCGCAAUAGAUCUGAACAAAAGUUAAACAUCUAAUUUAUAAAUCUUUAGCAGACCUGAACAAAACUUAAAUCUCUAAUUCAUAAAUCUUCAAGAGUUGCACUAUAGUUGCACCUUCUCACCUUUUCAACAACAGCUUGGUUUAUAUAAUCAAAAUGAAAUGUUAACACGAAUCUCUUAUUCAUCCACAAAGGCGUCACGUUUAGCGCAAACUCGUUCACAUCAUUAGCAGAAUCAACGCCAACACGGUAAAGGGGGUAAAGUCUCGUCUUGGAAUAAUUGUUACGUAGUGGCGACAAACCUAGAAAGUUCACCAUCAAACUGCGUGGGAUGCAGAAAAUGUCUCAACUUUAGAUGAUAGGAAUUGAUGGACCAACCCAUCUUUAUACAUGAUGUGGAUCCCACCGUGUGGCCUCAUUGCUAUAGCCUCCUCAACAAAGGAAUAACCGUCAUGAAUUACCGUUUCUCCAUCUACUACAUAGAAUCAGCUAUGGUCUAUUAAAUUAUUUGAAAAUAGACCAUCAAUGCACUCAUUCUCUAAUCUCUAUCAGCGAACACUUCGAAAUAAGAAAGAGCAACCCAAUUCAACCACCAAUUAACCCACGACACACGACUGUUUCCCUAAUGAUGUGAUUAAUGCUAGCGACUCUCUUGGACAAAACUAAAAGUUCCAACGCCUAUUAUGAAAUGUCACAUUAAACAAUAGUUAUCACUUAGUACUUAUGGCCCCCGAAAAUUUCAAGCUGAUGAGCCCUUACUGUAGGGCCACCAAUAUGCUAACAGCGGAAAAUUUCUCGAUAAAAAGUAUGCAAUAACUAGGUAAUGCAAUGCCAGUUGUUUAGAGGUUUGUCUACAAUGAGAAUCGUAUUGGUGACUUCGUCAAAAAUAGGUGAUUGACUCUCAUGUGAUUUGGCUAGAAGAUACUUAGUCAUCCAAUUAUUUAAUUGAAUCACUGAGAGAAAUUCAAAGAAAAGGAAAACAUUGAAAAAAUACUUUAUCUGAUUUAUAAUACAGUUGCUCAAAUCAUUGUAGUCUCUUUGAAUGGUGGAGUGGAGUUCAUGCAUCUUUUUUGAUGGGGACUGAAUUGAGUUCUUUGGUUGACAUUGAUCUUGUGCACGUUGUCACUGAUUUUCUCAUAUUAAGGGUAAGAUUGCAACUUGAAUCUUAAAAGUUACAUUAAUUAUUAGGCUUGCAUGUUGCGUGGGAUUAAAGCUAAAGUUCGUUAGUAAGAAUAACUUGCAUAUCAAACUUAACAGACGUUGAUAUCAUGGUUUAAAUUUUCAACCAACACGUGUAACAGACAUUAAACCUGUGUCAAUUACUGGAGUUUUGUAGUGAGGAUUUUAUUUCCUUACAAUCAACGAACAUAAGAAUGUUGUAAGUUACUUGAAAAAAAAAACUUUUUUUCUCUAUGGUCUGAAAGUACAUUGCAUGCAUCAUCAAGGGUCUUAUCAAUAGAUGCCCCUAGAGCAUCAGCUUAAUGAAAAGAUGGAACAACAAUUUUCAGGACACCUUGAAAAAUUGAGGAAUUACCCAUUUUAAGAAUGUCACUCACUUAUUUGAAGCCCCCCCCCCCCCCCCCCCCCCCCCCCCCCAAAAAAAAGAGAAGCCACUCACUUUAAAUAGAAAAUUUCAUUUCCAAAAUAAGGGGCCAAUGGACAGUCUUCAACAUUUUUCUUGUAUUAAAGAAUGUUCUAUAAAAAUCGUUAGUCAACCAUGUAAGGAAAUUAUUAACAUUGUCAUUUUUGACGUACCAACUUGUUCAAAAAUGUUAGCUGGGUUUACUCAUAUAUGGAAAAAAACCCAAUGAGUUGCAAGCACAAAAAGGGCUUGAGCCUAUAUGAUAAGUUAUAUGGAGAAAUAGGGUUUUCACUAUCUUUAUAAAGUGGUAGCCGCAAAAGGAAAUAGUAACAAGAGAAAAAGAGAAAGCAGAAAAUCUGGAGGUUGGGGCAUUAGCUGAUUUACAUCAAUCUGGCAUCGGAGGUCGAUUCGUGGUCCGAUUGAGCUGAAAUUUUGUCAGCAUGUUCGUGGUGCAAUUUUCUCGAAUUUGAACGGUUUGAUUUUCAUUUGAAGCUCCAUACAUCAUGUUUUUUUGUGAAUUAAUCAAAACCUGCGUUUUUUGGUCAGAUUUAUCCUUGAUCUCUUGGAAAUUCAUGUGCAUUGCCAAGAAUUAUGUUAUUGAGUUCUUUGCUGCUAUGUACCUCUAGUAUUUGCUAGAGAAGAACAUUGUUCACCCAAUUUUGUUGAUAGUGAAGAUUUUCGGAUGGACUCCGGUCUCGUGGCUUUUUAUCUCCUCACAUCAAGGAGGUUUUCCACGAAAAAAAUUGUCUUGUGUUCGCGUGUUUGGUAUUUAUUUUACUCUACUAUAUCGAUUCCUAUUAGGUUUAUACAAGAUGGAAGAUUAUUUUAUUCCGCUGCGUUGAUUUGAUAUUGUUUGAAUUGUUACUGUUCUCCCAUCAGAGUGGUAUCGGAGCAUCUAGUUAUUGCUUAAUUUUUCUGCCUUGUGUUAAACAAUGGAAACGAAUACGAGUAGAAUGGUUACAUUGAAUGGUUCAAAUUAUCAUAUUUGGAAAGGGAAGAUAGAAGACCUUUUAUAUGUGAAAGAUUUUUAUUUGCCUGUAUUUGCUAAGGAGAAACCAUAGAAUAAAACUGGUACUGAAUGGUCUAUAUUCAGAGGUUUUGUCGCUAGUUAAAAAGGGAGAAAUAAAAGGAGAAAGGUAAAGAGAAGAAAAAUGAUGAUGAUAAUGAUGACAAUCGUGUUGCUGCACUUAAAGAAGACUUUCUUAUUAUUUUUUAUGGUGAUGUGGUGAAUUUUGUAUCUCAUGAGACUAGUUGGGUAAUUGAUAGUGGUGCAUCCGUUCAUGCUACGUCUCGUAGGAAUUUCUUUAUAUCAUACAUGUUAGGUGACUUCGGAUUUGUGAAGAUGGGAAACAAUGGGCUAGCUCAAGCUGUAGGCAUUGGUGAUGUGUGCCUAGAAACCAGCAAUGGCACAAGGUUAGUAUUAAAUAAUGCUAAACAUAUACCUGAUAUUCGCUUGAAUUUGAUUUCUAUAGGCAAAUUGGAUGAUGAGAGGUAUUGCAACACCUUCGGUAAUGGUCAAUGGAAGCUCACCAAAGGUUCUCUUGUUGGGGCUAGAGGUGAAAAAUAUUCUUCGUUGUACAUUAUGUAGGCAAAGUUGUCCACAGACAAAUUUAAUGCAGUAGACAGUGAAGAUGCAGUUGAGUUAUGGCAUAAGAGGCUCAGUCACAUUAGUGAGAAGGGUUUGUCACUAUUGGCCAAAAAGAAGCUCAUUUCAGGAUUGAAAAGUUUGGCGCUAAAGAAAUCUGUUCACUGUUUAGCAGGAAAACAGAAUAGAAUUGUAUUUAAAAGCUCUCCUCCUUCAAGAAAGUCAGGUAUACUGGAUUUAGUGUAUUAUGAUGUUUGCGGUCCUAUGAAAACAAAAUCAUGUGGUAGCUCUCUUUAUUUUGUUACCUUCAUAGAUGAUUUUUCAAGGAAAAUUUGGAUUCAUACCUUGAAAACUAAAGAUCAAGUAUUAGAUGCUUUUAAGCAAUUUCAGACUUCAGUUGAGAGACAAACUGGAAAGAAAUUGAAAUGCAUCAGAACUGAUAACGAGGGAGAGUAUUUUGGACCUUUUGAUGAAUAUUACAGACAACAAGGUGUUCGACAUCAAAAGACACAUCACAAGGCGCCUCAGUUAAAUGGCUUAGCUAAGAGAAUGAACAUAAUACUGGUUGAAAGGGUAAGAUGCUUACUUUCACAGUUAAAGCUACCUGGAUCCUUUUGGGGUGAGGCUUUAAGUACAGUCGUGCAUGUAUUAAAUCUUACUUCAUGCAUUCUUUUAGAGUUUGAUGUUCCUAAUAGAGUUUGAAAGGUAAAGAUGUUUCUUAUGAUUAUUUGCGUGUCUUUGGAUGCAAAGCAUUUGUGCAUAUUCCCAAAGAUGAUAUCUAAACUUAAUAUGAAAACACAACAGUGCAUAUUUAUUGGUUAUGGACAGGAUAUGCUUGGCUACAAAUUUUAUGAUCCGGUUGAAAAGAAAAUUGUAAAAAGCAGAGACGUUGUGUUUAUGGAAGAUCAAACAAUAGAGGAUAUUGAGAAAGCAGAGAUGAUUUCAGCAUGACAAGUUGAUAACUUGGUUGAUUUGGAUCCAAUUCCUCUUACAAAUAUUCCUACAUAGGUUGAUGAAGAGCAGCAGGAAGUCAAUAUUCCAAAUAAUGCACAUAUUCCUGAACAUGUUGAAACAGAUAAUAAUAUUCCUACACUAGAGACUCAAUUAGAUGUUCCACUGGAUGUUCCAGUCCGGAGAUCCAUUAGAGACCGACGACCUUCCACCAAGAAUUUUGAAGAUGAUUAUGUAUUAUUGACUGAUGCGGGUGAACCAGAGUGCUAUGCAAAAGCAAUAGAAAAUGAGUACAAAAGCAAUUGGUUUGAUGUUAUGCGAGAUGAGAUGCAGUCACUUUAUGAUAAUCAUACUUUUGAGUUGGUGAAAUUACCUAAAUGUAAAAGAGUUUUAAAGAACAAGUGGGUAUAUAGGUACUUCACAACCACGAUACAAAGCUAGAUUGGUUAUUAAGGGAUUCAGUCAGAGAAAUAGUAUUGAUUUUGAUGAUAUACUUUCUCCAGUAUUGAAAAUGUCUUCUAUCCGUGUGGUACUAGGUUUGACAGCUAUCCUAGGUUUGGAAAUUGAGCAAAUGGAUGUUAAAACAUCCUUCCUACAUGGCGAUUUGGAGGAAGAGAUAUACAUGAAAAAACUUGAGGGUUUUAAAGUGAAAAGGAAAGAGAAUUAUGUGUACAAAUUGAAAAAAAAAAAGUCUCUAUGACCUAAAACAAGCACUAAGACAGUAAUACAAAAAGUUUGCGUCAGUUAUAAAAUAAUAGGGCUAUAAGAAGACUUUUUCGAAUAACUGUGUGUUUGUCCAAAAAUUUUCUGAUGAUGACUUUAUUAUUCUCUUGCUUUAUGUUGAUGAUAUGCUAAUUGUUGGCAUGAAUGCUUCAAGAAUUGAGUUAUUAAAGAAACAGUUGAGCAAGUCUUUUGCCAUGAAAGACUUGGGCUCAGCGAAGCAGAUUCUUAACAUUAGAAUUACUCGAGACGGAGAUGCUAAGAAGUUGUUUUUGUUGUAAGAGAAAUAUAUCGAGAAGAUACUUCGGAAAUUUUACAUGGACAAGGCUAAAGUGGUUAGUACUCAUCUUGCUGCCCAUUUUAAGUUAAAUAUGAAGCAAAGUCCUACUACUGAUAAAGAGAAGAAAGAUAUGGAAAUUGUUCCAUAUGUCUCAGCUGUAGGAAGCUUAAUGUAUGCGAUGGUAUGUACACGCCUAGACUUGGCGCACGCAGUUGGCAUUGUUAGUCGUUAUUUGUCAAAUUCAGGCAGAGAGCACCGGAAUGCAAUGAAAUGGAUUAUGAGGUAUCUUCGGGGAACUUCAAAUUUGAAACUCAGUUUUGGAACCGAGAAACUUGACUUAGUUGGAUACACAGAUUCCGACUUGGCAAGAGAUAUUGAUACUCGUAAAUCUACUUUUGGUUAUUUGAUUUCUUUUGCGGGUGGAGUUGUGUCAUGGAAGUCAAGAUUGUAGAAGUGUGUUGCACUUUCUACAACCGAAGCUGAAUUUAUUGCAGCGACUAACACUAGUAAAGAGAUGCUAUGAAUGAAGAAGUUCUUAGAAGAACUUGGGUUCAAGCAAAAGAGGUAUGUGCUAUUUUGUGAUAAUCAAAGCGCAAUUCAUCUUGUUAAGAAUUCAUUUUUUCAUUCUAGAUUGAAACAUAUUGAUGUUUGAUAUCAUUGGAUAAUGGAUUUUUUAGAUGAGAAGUUGUUGGAACUUGAGAAAAUUCAUACGGAUCAUAAUGGCUUUGAUAUGAUGACGAAGACUCUACAAAGAGAGAAGCUUGAACAUUGUCAAUUGAUAGCAGGGAUGGUGAAUCCCUCUACAUUGUUGUGAGGGGAGAUUUGUUAGCUGGGUUCACUCCUAUGUGGAAGAAACCCAAUGAAUUGCAAGCCCAAAAAGGGUUUGAGCUCAUAUGAUAAGUUAUAUGGAGAAAUAUGGUUUUUCGCUAUCUUUAUAAAGUGGUAGCCGCAAAAGAAAAUAGUAACAAGAGAAAAAGAGAAAGCAGAAAAUCUAGGUAUUGGGACAACAUCUGAUUUACAUCAAGUUGGCAUCGGAGGUCGAUUCGUGGUCUGAUUGAGCUGAAAUUUUGUUAGCGUGUUCGUAGCGCAAUUUUCUCGAAUCUAAACGGUUUGAUUUUUGUUUGAAGCUCUGUACAUAAGGUUUUUCAUGGAUUGAUUAAAACUUGCGUUUUUGGUCAGAUUUAUCCUUGAUCUCUUGUGAAAUUCAUGUGUAUUGCUAAGAAUUAUGUUCUUGAAAUCUUUUCUGCUAUGUACCUCUAGUAUUUGCUAGAGAAGAACAUUGUUCACCCAAUUUUGUUGAUAGUGAAGAUUUUUGGAUGGACUCAAAUCCCGUAGUUUUUUAUCUCCUCACAUUGAGGAGAUUUUUCACGUAAAAAAAUCGUUUUGUGUUCGCGUGUUUAGUAUUUAUUUUACUUUACUAUAUCGAUUCUUAUUAGAUUUACACAAGAUGGGAGAUUAUUUUAUUCCGCUGCGUUGAUUCGAUAUUGUUCGAAUUGUUACCGUUCUUCCAUUAGAAAAUUCAACCUUUAUGUUGUGAAUACACAUAACGAGAAGCGUCUCUAGGACAUAGUUAACAUGAACCGAUAUUCAUUUUAAUAGGAGAAUUACUAAAAAAGUUAUAAUCUAUUGUAAUUGUGUUAAUUCAGUCAUAUGUUUUUUUGCCAAUUCAAUCCUAAAACUUUUAUAAUUAUGACAAUUCAGUCCAUCCUAUCAAUUUUGACCAACUGACGCUAACGUGGAUAAUUUUUAAUAAUAUUUUAUUUUCUUCAAAUUUUUUAUUAAUUUAUUAAUUUUCCUUUUCUUUUUUCUCUUCUUCCUUCUUUUGCUUCUUUUCCUAUGGUGGCUAGUGAGGGUUCAACAAGGGCUUCACGGCCCUUGCAGGCCACCGUGGGAGAAAAAAUGGAAGAUAAGGAAGAGGAGAAAAAAAAGAACAGAAAAAAGAAAAUAAUUAAUAAUUAAUAAAAUUUUUGGUCAAAAUUAAUAAAAUAAAAUUUAUUCAAAAAUAAAAUAUGAUAAACAAAUUUUCUAGGUCUACGUUGAUUGAGCGAUCAGCAUCCGCGUUAGCAUAAGCUACAGGCAGACCAAAAUUGACUGGAUGGAUUGAAUUGACACUAUUGUAAAAUGUUGAUGACUAAGUUGGUAAAAAAAAAGAAAUUUAUGAUUGCAUUAACACAAUUAUAAUAAGUUUAUGAUUUUUUAAUAAUUUUCUCCUAUUUAAUUAGGGGAUAAAAAAGAGGCAAGAUCAUCCUUAAUUUAUGUUUCUAACCCUCCACGAUAAUCACAAAUAAGAGGUGGAAUAAUAUUUAUUUUGCGGCAAAGGUUAGCAUCAUUGUUUGGAAUUGAAAUUGAGAUACUCAAGGCGACUUUUCACGAAUUGGAGAGAUCCAUAUGCAAAUUUUCCACAUAUUUUUCUCCUCUCGCGCACAAUUUUCCUUUGCAAUCUUCUUCUUUUGAUUUCUUAGUGUCAAACUACAUAUUGUCCAAUAUCCUAUGUCACUUCAUUUUAACUAAUACACAACACGACACCUCCAUAGACAUGCUCGAACAAAAUUAUCUAGAAAUGCACCUUAACCACAUAAUGACAAUGGAAAAACAUAUUUUCUUAGACAUUUAGUUAGUUAAGGGUUAUUCGAUGUAGAAUUAUCAAUGCUCAAACUAAAUAUUGGCGUGGAUCCUUUCAGACAUGCUUACUGUAAUUAUAUAUCUUUUAAGAAAAAUAGAGCUUCAUAAAACCCACCAAAAUAAGACAAAAAUUAAGUUUUCCCCUUUUACGUUAGUGUUCAACGGCCUUUAAUUUUGUAAAAGCGUAUCUUUAACAAAAGAGAAUUCCUGGGAAUCUAAAUUCAAAAGUACUUUAUAGAUUAGAAUCAAUCUAGUGUGCAAGAAGAUUCGAAAAUGCUCUCUUUUUUUUUCUCUUUUUUCUUUUUUUCAAAGUGGAAAAUAUUGUGUUUUUGGGAAAAUUGUCCAAAAAGUACUAAAUCAAUUGCAAUUAUACCAAUUGAGUCUUGAAUCUUAUAAUUUUAAACAUUUUCAUGUUUAAUCAAUUGAGUCUAUCUGAUUGAUUUUGGUCGAAAAUCAUUGACGAUUGCUAGGGACCCUUGCUUGGUUUGGGUGAGGCCAUGAACCCCUCGCUUAGGGGUGUGGCUAGUGAGAGUGUCACAAUCCUCGCCCAAACCAAGUGGGGGUUGCUGAUCCUCACUUGUGACUAGUGAUGGUUAGCUGGCGAACUCAUUGGCCAGAGUUGGAAAAACAAGGAAGAAAAGAAAACAAUAAAGGAAAAAUAAUAAGUAAAAUAAAAAUUGAAAAUACAAAAAAUGUUUAAAAUAUUAUUACAAAUUAUCUAUAUUAACGCCAAUUGUGCCAUAUAAGAUAGACAACAUCCAUAUUAGCGAUUUUUAGCUAAAUUUGGCUGAAUAGAUUCAAUUGGCAAGAUUAAAAAAUUCAGAACUAAAUUGACAAUAGUGUAAUACUACAUUUAUGAUUUUUUGGACAGUUAAUAAAGAAAAUUCAAUUACAAGGAUAUAUUAUGUACUCCGUACCAUUGCAGCAACACAAAUUAAGAAAAAUUAAUAAGAUCUUCUAAUUUUAAUUCUCCGUACUCGAUAUUGCAACUUUAAAAUUUUCCUAAAUCAAAUCUUGCCACCAUACAACUAACGAUGGCCAAGUUUACUUUACAGUUAUUAGGAAAUAAGAAAAAGAACUUGCUCCGAAUCAAUUCAUACACCGCCCCGUCUAUAAGAGAUAAACCCAUUUGAAACUUUCCCAUAGUUAUUUCCAAAAAAUAAAUAAAAAUUUUCCUUAAAAAGUCAUCGUUUUUGAAAAAAGGCGGACCACCGGCAAUUCUUAAUCAACACCAAAAAAAUUUGGAUCCUUUCUUUCCUUUUUCCAAUAAAUGUGCCAACCUAUUUAAUCAUGAUAAAAUUAAUCCCUUCAUGAAUUUUAAAAAACCUUAUUAUUUCAAAAAAACAAGUUCCGAAAACAAAACGUCUUUGUUCAACCCGUCUUUUUUUUCCAUGCAACCUUUACCUUAUGCGCACAUGCGUUUAUAACUUUUCCGACCCAUGAAAUUUUCCCGACGAAUUGAAUCCGAAUUUUGUGAUAUGUGCAAAAAUAAAUAAAUCAAUCAAUGGGGCAAUUAAAAAAAAUGAUGGGCGGAUAAUAAAUAACCACCGUAGAAAAGGCCUCAAUCUGAUUGGGCCUGUUCCGUUCAUCCAGAUUACUGUGGCCGAAGCCCAUAGAUGUUAAUCUAAUUUGGCCCAUUCUGUUUGGGCUCCAAACUGAGCCCAUCAGUUCGGCCAGUAAAAUAAGUGGAACCCAUCAUCCAUCCCCUUGUUGUUUCACACUCUGUGGAACGACAGACGAACACCCAAGGGAAGGGACGACGCCCGCGACGACGGCCUUCCACCGUUUGUACACAUCCGUCAAAGAAGCGAGAGCCUAAAAAAUCUUCUGGAUCGCGAAUUCUCCUUCCGCAUUCGCGCUUUUCCUCCGUUGUUUCCGAAGGGUGUCCGGGGCAUCAUCGAUCACCGCCCGUCUUCAAGUUUCUAAAGGCGCAGCAGUUGCUGUGCUCUGCAGCGUCGACCCACCGGCGACGAAUUUCUUGGGAAUUCCGGUUCUCAGUUCGAUCGGGGGUGUUCCUGGUCAUGGCAUCUACCAGGUACGAGAGUUGAUUCUCAAUCUAAUAUGGGUAAUCGAGUCUGAGAAAUGUGGUCGAGGCCCAUGUGAAAUUCGUCUCUGGUUAAAGCUUCAUCAGUGUUUCGAAUGUGCAUUGAGCCUGUAGCGAUGACCUGAUAGUGAUUCUUGGCCUUUUACGUGAGCGGAAGUUCAUUACUCGAAGUGCGUGCCACUUAUUCGAUGAAAUGUCUGAGAGAAAUCGGAAUGCACGUUCUCUGAAGGAAACGAGUGCAAGAAGG